rnacentral:sRNA from 1 species
CUGGGCUCAAGCAGUCCUCUCACCUCAGCCUCCCAAAGUGCUGGGAUUACAGGAAUGAGCCAUCUCGCCCAGCCUAUCAUAGUUUUUAUACUUUCUUUCUUGUUUAAUUUUAUUUGUGUUUUAGGGCUCUUGGUGGUAUCGCUCAAUACGCUAUAGUGGAGACCAGAUUCUAAUACGCACAACACAGAUUUAUACAUACUUUGUUUAUAAAACCCGAAAUAUGGAUAUGAAACGUCUUAUCAUGGUUUUGGCUGGAGCUUCUGAAUUUGAUCCUCAGUAUAAUAAAGAUGCCACAAGCAGACCAACGGAUAAUAUUCUAAUACCACAGCUAAUCAGAGAAAUUGGCAGCAUUAAUUUAAAGAAGAAUGAGCCUCCACUUACCUGCCCAUAUAGCCUGAAGGCCAGAGUUCUUUUAUUGUCUCAUCUUGCUAGAAUGAAAAUUCC